UUUUUUUUUCCAGUUGCUUAUAAAUAUAAUUUAUUACCUGUUUAAAAAUUCUUUCUUACACUUUGUACAUGUCAGGCUGACAGAAUAAAUGCAGGCAUUUACAAACAGAGGGAAAGAGAAAAAGGGGGGGGGGAGGAUAAGAGGCACACUCAGAACUAGUAAACCACACCUCCACUAUACAGCAACACAAAUAAUGCAAUGGCUAGCACUUCUCUGGUAGUAAGUCAGUCUUUAGAAAAGGAAUUGCAUAGAAGAUACAGCAAUAGGGAAAUCAAAAUCAAAAUAGUUCUUCAGAUCUGAAUAGCAAAGAAAAUAAAUCCCACAAAAUCUGGUAGAGCUGAGACAUGGGAAGUGGAGGGAAAAAUGCAAUACACCCUCUUGGCCCAGGUUGCACAGACAUUUCAUUUCCUAUGGGCCCUUCUUCUUUGCUAUGGAAAGGUACCAAAUGAACCAUCUUACACUUUUAUUAUUAUUAAACAUUUAACAGACAGAAUAUGUGUUAGCAAAAAAGUCUACCACACAGAUGUGCCAAAACAGUAAUGCCAGGUAAUGCCAUAACUUCUCUGUCUCAGCUGUGCCACGCAUCCUGUUUCAAGGUAGGUUAUCGGCUUAUGGCUCAGGGGUGUAUUAUUUGCAAGGUGCCUUACAAGAUCUAUGGGAGAUGAGUGUUUUGCUGCUGCUUCUGCCUAAUUUUGUUUACUUUCCAGACUGGUUUUGCUUUCUAUUCAUGUUGUUUAAGCUCCCAAAUUUACUUGCAAUCCAUAGCAAGAGCCAGCUGGCAGCAGCCAAAGAGGAUCUUUGGGCCAAACAAGCUUUUUUCAUCUAGGGCUAUUGUCCCACCAGCUGCAACUGGCAGCUGGAGACCAGAGUGCCAGUAUUCGGAGACCCACCUCACUGGGGGAUGGCCCUGCCUGAUUACAUCCUGCUUCUUCACAGGCAUCCAGAAGUUACUCACAUGCCACAGCAUGGGAUGCUUUGGGAGAAAAGACCAGGCCCAGGGUACAGCAAACACAGCAAUUAAUCUCUUUGUAAGCAGUCGAGGAGACUGAACCAUUAUUAAAUACAUUUAACCAACAUCACAGAAAAUGUGAAAUACCUAUCUGGUGAUAGAGGCUUGUGGAAACUCUGGAUUAUCGCUGCUUUUUUGUACAGUCAGAGCUUAUCAAAGGACUUUCAGAUAAAGGGAUUUUCAGAUUUCAGGGAGCAGGUGUCAAGCUUAAAGUACAAGUAAGUAAAUAAACUAAAUGCUGCUAUUUCAAGCAAGGAGCUUGACCUGCCAAACUUGAGGGCUCAUUUCUGUGGCUUUGGUUCAAGUCCAAUUCUAGUUCCUUGCCAGGUUUUAUUCUGUUGGCUCUCGCUGUACUGCCUAUUUGACCUUGCAGUGAUGAUACAGCACUUAAUUUUGACCUUCACGUUCACAAGCAAAAGUUGGUCAUAAGAGGAUGCCCACAACUAACAUCAGAGCUAAAAGCAUCCAGCAGUAGGUGUCCUUUAUUUUCUUCUCUGUGUGUGUGUAUAUAUACACACACACUUCACAUUUCUGUUAAAUUCCUACUUCAAAGGAUGUGUGAGAUAUCUGCUUCAGCAUUUAAAAAUCUGCAGCGCAGCUCAUUUUACGAACUCAAGCUACUCAUACACAAGCUAGGAACAGAUUGCGGUGAUGACCCCAAAGUCAAUACCUCAUUGGAGUCCCUAUGGGAGAACAGCCAAAGGUUUGGUUUCCAUUCACAAACUACUCACAUCUUUGCACUGCCUGCCAUUAAGUAAGCCAGCCUGCAACCAGUUAAUUACUUCGUGGGCAGAGUAAUACCUGAAAAGACUUCCGAACAUUUAUUAAAAUAGUUUACAAAGAAGUGCCCUGGACAUGAGAUUAAAAAAGAAACAAACAAAAACACCUCACCAGUAUAAUCUUGUUUAGAAGUAACCUCAGAGCUGUGGUAACUACUUGGCUAGAGCAUACAAUGGUCUAAGGACAUCCCCCCACCCCGGCCCUUCCCCAUACCCCCACACCCCAAAACAACAAGAAGAGGAGAACCAAAAGAAACUAUUGUAGGUAGCAAUACAAGACAUGAGGACACUGUCCACAAUGAGGGGCUUACAGCAUGUAAAUACAUUUAUUCUAUAUGUAAGCAACAGAAAGAGUGAGAAACCCAAGGAACAGAGAUGCUUUGCUCCGUGGGCAUCCCAGACUCCAAUAUGUCUCGUGAGCGUCUGCAUUUCUGCCAGCAGUACAGGAAAAAAAAGAGUCUUGGUCUCCCAUGGAAGCAAAUCCCGGCUGAAGAGACCCCCACUGCCUCAAAACUUCUGAGAUUCAGCAGCACUUAGGUCUUGCACUGUUCAGUAAGAUACAGUGGAUCAGCUGUGAUCAGAAAACUCUGGAAAAACCCAACCAAACCCCAAACUUACCCUAUACACUGACAGCCACCUUUACAAGAACACAACACAAGAGGAACUGAAGAAAAAAAUCAGGUGAAAAGGACUGCCUCCAAUACUGUUUCUUACUCGGAAAGAAAAGGUUUUCCUUGAAGUCAGUAGAUAUUUUAUAUAUAUUUAUAUAAUAUAUAUAUUAUUUAUAGCGCUAGCAACCAACAUGUAAUGAAGAGAUGGUGUGAAGAGCAGCAACACUGCUGCAGGACAUAACUGAAGGUGGACAGCUAAAAGGAUAAAACAUUUUAAAAAGUAGUAAUAACUGGAGGAUAAGAAACCCGCAGCCAUCUUUUUCUUUUAAAGCAGAUGUGCUUACCUGACAUAAAAUGUUACAAUAACUUGCAAGAAUCGGUUCUGUCUGCCAAACUUAUUUGCCCUUUUCAAGAGCCACCCAACGGGAGAAAGCCUUUCCCCAAGCGAUGUUGCUCACUGUGGCAUGUUGGAGCUGGAGCGCAGCCCCACGAGAUGGCACUGUGUCCACGCAAUGGUUUUUCUCCCACCAAAAGUAAUACUCCGAAAGAUCUGAUCUGGCCGCCCUUGCUCUUUCCUUCCCAUCCUCCCUCCUUGAGAUAGCAGGAUGGGGAUGCUGAGGGGUGCGUACCACUGGCCUGUGCCAGAGCCAUCUCCCCAGCCAGAUGCCCUGCCAUGGAAAAAAAAGGAAGAAAAAAAACCCUGAGCAAAAUAAAUGCAGAAGGAGCAUCAGGUGAGGUGGGAGUUGCUGUUUGCAGCAGUGGCAAAGCACAAAUGUGGAGCUGCUGGGACAAUGUGUGGCUCUGUGGAGGAAACUUGCCCAUCCCUGGCAGCCCCUGCUCCCUGUCAGGGCUGAGGCAGCUGGCACAGUGCUGUGCUGGGCCCUUGCAAAGGCUGAUGGAGCAAAGGCUGGAGAAACCAUUCCGCACCUCAGCAGGUGAGAAAAGGUUUCUGAACAGGUGGGGUGGAAAAGCAGCUCCUCCUCUCAGUGAUGCUGCUGCCAGCAGUGAUGUUUUUGACCUUCAUCCAUCUCCAUGGAUGCUCCUCGUAAUCAGAGCAUGCCUUUUUCCUCUCAAUAAAUCCCCUUUACAGUGACCCUGUAAAAGGAAAAUUCCCCAGAAUACUUUAAGACUGUUGCUCAUCUGGUUUUUCUUCAAGGAGGCAUGGGGAAUAGGUCAGAGAGCUGGCAAAAAGAUCAUUGAGUGAUAGUGACAGAGAUAACUAUGAGAUACUUUCCAGCAAGGCCCUGGUGAGAAGCCUGCACACCAAGCAAAAGCUGAGAGCUGGGAGUACCAGUGAGCUUGGGCAUCACCUCACAAAGGCUGAACCGAAGGGAAGGGGCAGGACAGUAUGGCUCAUGCACCUGCCUUGGAAAAGAAGCCACAGAGGAAGGACACAUGGGAAGGGUAAAGAAAUUCAAAUUAAAUACAACUGUGGUUACACCUAAGGAUGGCACAGAAGGGAGAAAAGGUGAGGCCUGUCUUUGAAAGGCCAUUUUAGAGCUUCAAGGUCAGUCAAAAAUGUAAGAAAAGGGCAGUCCCAGUCAAAGCUUCCUGAAGUUGAAAGAUUUCCAUUAGCAUUGCAGUGGGCUGCAUCAGAUGCACAAGGUGAAAAAGACGGUUGUUGUUGAAAGGAUGCCCAUGGCACCUCCACAUUAAGAGAAGGUGGGGCUUACAAAGGCAAAAUGCAGCCAGAUGUUGAAAGUUAAAAUGUAUGUCCUCCGGGCUCCAGUUCUGACUGAGAUGCUGCUUUGUAAUCUGAUGGGUUACCUUUUACGAGGAAGGGAGAGCUUUAUGAUCGCUGCCCAAUUGUCAAUCAAAACCCUGCUGGUGUCAGGGAGCUGAGAAAUUAAAAAAAAGAGUCCUAAGUCUGUGAAAUGUCAAAUUGGAGAAAGGUCAGAUGGAAUUUUCCUUUCAUUUUGACCAAUGACAUUUUCAAAGUUACCUUUAAAGGCACAAUCUGGAAAGCCUUGGGGAAAAACAAAACCAAAAACACGAAAGAAAACAAGCGAUCUCCGGUCUUGGGAAGCACAUGGAGUGGGACAUGCAUGUGUGCACAACAGGGCCUAGCUGGAAACCUGGAAUGGAUGAGCUGGGGAAGAAAGCCUUUUUUGCACCAGAAGGAGAGGACAGACAAGACUGGCAGUAACACUACUGCAAUCCUACACACUGUCAUGUACCAAAGAGCCAGGCUUUUCACUGAGUGGAAGAAAAAUACAUGUGCAGUGACAACCAAAAAGGCAAAAGUUGGCUCCCUUUGCCAAGUUCCCACUUCACCUGUUUGUGGUGGACAAAAGGGACAGGGCUGCACCUCACGCAGAAAAGACCCAGCAUAGGACUCCCAGUUAGCCUAGACCACCACAAACAUUAUCGGAGCUGGUGAGCUUCUGUACAGUGAGUACCUGCAGCUCUGUGUGAGCUGAUGGCUCUCAGACCACUUCAAAGCAAAGCAAGACAUGUGGAGGCCCACACUAGAUGCACAAAGCAGUGUCAGUGCCUCCA
ensembl:lncRNA